AACGAACGCUGGCGGCAGGCUUAACACAUGCAAGUCGAACGAUGUAGCAAUACAUAGUGGCGCACGGGUGAGUAAUACUUGGGAACGUGCCUUUCAGUCGGGAAUAACCACGGGAAACUGUGGCUAAAACCCGAUACUCCCUCCGGGGGAAAGUUUACGCUGAAAGAUCGGCCCAAGCCAGAUUAGCUAGUUGGUGGGGUAAUGGCCUACCAAGGCAACGAUCUGUAGCUGGUCUGAGAGGACGGCCAGCCACACUGGAACUGAGACACGGUCCAGACUCCUACGGGAGGCAGCAGUGGGGAAUAUUGGACAAUGGGGGAAACCCUGAUCCAGCCAUGCCGCGUGAAUGAUGAAGGCCUUAGGGUUGUAAAGUCCUUUUGUCAGGGAAGAUAAUGACGGUACCUGAAGAAUAAGCACCGGCUAACUUCGUGCCAGCAGCCGCUGUAA
rnacentral:rRNA from 1 species